ensembl:lncRNA
ACGCCAUUGGGGUUGCCCCAGCCAAUGCCCCAGGCAGGGUUGGGGAACUGGUCUGGCCUGUCACCCCGGCCCCUGCCCGUACCUGAGUGCAGGCCAGCCCUGAUGCGAACGGGCACGGUGGGCGCAUGCCUCAUCCGGAAGUCGCCCACAGAGCUGAGGGUGUCCAGGGCCAUGUUGGCGAGCUCAGCCGCAUGCCGACUCCGGUUGUGCCGGGGCAGCCCCAAUGCCACCAUGUAGGCGUCCCCGAUGGUCUUCACCUAGAAGCCACAGCCUUCAUGCUCCAGCCCAAGAAUACACCUGCUGGCCUGUCCCUCAUCAAGCACGAGGCUGCCUCGGGGAGCCCCUGACUGGUCCCUGGGCCACAGUGCCGUCUCUGCCAGGCCACCCGUUCCGGGCUCUCCGGCAACAACUGGGUGUCACAUUUCAGAUGACCCUGAAGUGUGGGUGACCACACCUGUCUCGGCUCCUCAGACCCCAGGCCACGAACAGACCUGGGCGCCCAUCUGCACCACGCCCCAGCGCCCAGCAGGGCUCCAAGCUAGAGAAGAGCACGUACAUAGUGGAUACCUUUCCUCUCUCCCAAAACCCGGGGGCCUUCCCAGGUGCACUGGGGAGAAGGUGGAUGCUGGAAUCAGAUAGAUGUGGAUUUGAACCCUGGCUCUGCCCUUUACCUGAGGCAGCCCACUUCACCCAUGUAGGCCUCAGUUUCCUCUAUGUGGCGCGUAUUUUAAAGAUAAAGUAUGGGAAGAACCAGGCCCAUCACAGAUGCUCCAUAAACGGAGACUUCUGUCUUUAUCGUCAUUGUCAUUAUUUCCUUGGCUAAUGGUUUUGGAGAAGACAAAACCCCAGAAUCUCGGAAGCAGGAGGGACUUGAAAGGCUCCCAUCUCCCCCGGCCCCAGGGCCGUGCUGGCCAGCUCGCGUCUCUUGACAGGAAGGGCCCUCCUCUCGGGGUGGUUGCUUCUCCCUGCAGGCAAAUGUUGAGUUGCAUUGGAACCUGCCUCUCACCUGCUGGUCCCAGCUGUACCUCCUGAACCGUCUCCACAGAUCUUUCCCAAGCGCCUUCUCUGUUCCGAAGGCCCUGUUCCAGGUGCUGGGGAUGCAGGUGUGUGUGGUGGCCUUCUCCCCUGCCACAGGCCAGGCCGGCCAAGGAGAGGACAGUGACUCUACCCCGAGUCUUCCGGUCGGCCCCAGAGCCCAGCUGCCCCACUGCCGCUCCCACAGCCAGCGCUCAUCGGCGGCACCCGGGCCGGGCAGAGCCGUCCCUCUGGCCAGGGACACCCACUCUCCCUUAGCACCUGGCGGACAGUAAUAAUAAUGAUGAUGCUUUCGCCUGCCCAUAGGAGGCGCUGUAAUUCAGUAAAUCUCACGCGUUGGCCAUGGACUGUGCCUUCUUCCUGUGUCCCUACACAUCUCUCCCUCACCCGGGCUGUCCCCAGCCAAACACCGGGAAGUGACCUGCCCUAACCAUGCACAUUCUGCUGAGACACUGCAAUCUGCUCCUGGCCAACGGCCGCCAUGAUUUGCAGAAUUGCCGGACUUCUUCCGAGCAGUCGCUCCUGGUUCCCCACACUUCAGCCACACAGGAACCUCUCUCCUCCCCACAGAGCCACGUGCUCACCUCCAGGCCUGAUCCAGGUCCCUCUGCCUGAAAUGCUCGCCCCGGGUCCCCAUCCGGGGAGACCGAGCCCCCAUCAACCCAGCUCACGCUUCAUCGCAUCCAUAAGAUGUUCCCAGUCACCAAAAAGUCACUUCCUCCUCACAGCUGCGACCUCCCUCUCCCUCCCCGUCAUCCGUCACCUGUCAUCCGUCACCCAGCACUUGUGGGCUGGCAGCGGAGUAUGGCGGGGCAGGGGGCAGGGCUACCCCCCACCGAGUACCGUUCACAGAGGAGAGAGAGCCCCCCCACCCCACGUCCCAGGAGGGGUAAAGACGAGCAAGCCUGGCUUUCCCUCUGCCCGCCCUCUGCUUCCCCGCCCUCUGCUUCCCCAGAGGAGGAAGAACGCGUUAUCGGAAGGGCAAGAUUGGAAAAAGUGCCCCCUCAAAUACACGUACAGCAGUUAUAACGUGCCAGCCACUGUGCCAAACCCUUUACAAACAUAAAUGCAUAUUUGAUCUUCACAAGAAUUCUGUGAGGUAGGUAGCCUUACUAUUGCCAUUUUGCAGGUGGAAACUGGGCCAGAGAGGUUAAGUCACUCUCCAAUGUCACACAGCACAGAUUUGGACUUGGUCAGUCCAGCUCCGGAGCCUGUAUGCUAUGCUGCCUCCUGAUGCACAUCGCUUGGGCCUGUCUGGCUCUCUUUUGAGGAGAAUCUGUCUGCUGCACAGGAUGUCCCUCUGCUCCUGCCCAGCGCUUGUGUCUGGGCCGGGUCCUGCCUCCCAGAGGCCACCAGGAGACCUACUGCUCCCUGGCCCCACUUCCAGCCCGCCAGCUGGGCAGCUGCAAUUCACCUGCAGUACACCUGCUCCGGGGACCAGCCUGCAUCAGCUGGGUGACUCAAGGUCCAGGCUGGGAAGGAGAAGCCGUUGAAAGCCCCAUGGUGGCCACACAUCCAGCCCACACUCUCCAAGAUGCUAAGCUGCCCACUAGCCCUCCCCCUGCCUGCCACUGAGCUGGAAGGGAGAGUUUGGUGCAAUCAAUAAUCAUCCCUACAAUACCAGUGAAAGAAGGAUGACCAGGCACAGGGCCCACUCUCUAGGAGCUCGGACUUGCAAAGAUGGCCACUCAAAGCCUCCUGGCGCCGUGGACACUCAGGGCUACCAAGGGCUGGGGCUCAUCGUUCAAGGCUCUGGUCCUUUGCAGACGGGGGAACACAGGUAGAAGAGAGCUGAGAGCAAAAUUUUCCAUGCUAACAAACACAGGCGUGAAUUCCAACUCCAUCACUGGCUUGCUGUGUGACCUUGGGGGAACAGGAUCCGCCCAUCGUCCGUGAAGCCCCAGGAUGGGGGUCAUCAUUCCUGUUGCAGAGAUGGAGAAACAGAGACCCAGAGAGGGGAGACCAUUUGCCCAAAGCCACACAGAAGGUGGUGGCCUGACUGGGACUCCAACGCAGGAUGGAGAGGCCGCCCUCUCAAGCCUCAAGCUUUAGCACGUUGUUCCCCCAUGGGUGCCUGGAGCAACCACAUCCAGACUGGACAAUGCUAGGGAGACAACACCUCCUCCAGGAAGACUUCCUCGCUCUUCACACGUCUUCCCGUAGCUGGAGUGGGUGCUCUGCCAGCCUGCUCUGCCUCCCCUGAUCAUCACUUUCACUGUGAGCUGUCUUCCUCUUUCACCUACAGCACGGAGGGCUCCCUGAG